rnacentral:misc_RNA from 1 species
AGAAAAGGGUAACAACUAUUCACAAACAGCUUGCAGUCAAAUAAAACUUUUGAAAUCCAUUUAAGUCCACACGGGAAUUAGAACUGCAUUGUCUAAAAUAUCAAAUGAUUUUUAUCCCUAUAAUCCUUUUAUCCCUUUGUAAAUUUCUAUUAUAUGCCUCUAAAAAAUGUACUUAUCAUAAAUCAUGCCAUGUGUGUACAAAUGUUAUGUAAGUGAAAAAGUCAAUAAAAAUGGUCAUUGUAUACC